rnacentral:ncRNA from 1 species
UCUUAUUCGGAGUCGGUGGAGGGACAGACCCUAUGAAACCCAGCAACCAUCACAAUGUGAAAAGGUGCCAACUGAAGCAAGGUAACCCCUUGAACAAUAAGA